AGAGUUUGAUCAUGGCUCAGAGCGAACGCUGGCGGCAGGCCUAACACAUGCAAGUCGAGCGGCCGUAGCAAUACGGCAGCGGCAGACGGGAGAGUAACACGUGGGAACGCGCCCUUCGGUCCGGGAUAACCCAGGGAAACUUGGGCUAAUACCGGAUACGCCCUUACGGGGAAAGAUUUAUUGCCGAAGGAACGGCCCGCGUCCGAUUAGCUAGUUGGUGAGGUAACGGCUCACCAAGGCGACGAUCGGUAGCUGGUCUGAGAGGAUGACCAGCCUCACUGGGACUGAGACACGGCCCAGACUCCUACGGGAGGCAGCAGUGGGGAAUAUUGGACAAUGGGCGCAAGCCUGAUCCAGCCAUGCCGCGUGGGUGAUGAAGGCCCUAGGGUUGUAAAGCCCUUUCAGCGGGGAAGAUAAUGACGGUACCCGCAGAAGAAGCCCGGCUAACUUCGUGCCAGCAGCCGCGGUA
rnacentral:rRNA from 1 species